GGUAAGGUGGCUGAGUUAGGCGGUAGAUUGUAAAUCUAUUAACGAGAGGAUCUCUCCCUUCCCA
rnacentral:tRNA from 1 species